ACCCGCUGAACUUAAGCAUAUCAAUAAGCGGAGGAAAAGAAACCAACAGGGAUUGCCUUAGUAACUGCGAGUGAAGCGGCAAAAGCUCAAAUUUGAAAUCUGGUGCCUUCGGCGCCCGAGUUGUAAUUUGGAGAGACAUCUUCGGAGUAGACGCCGUCCUAAGUUCCUUGGAACAGGACGUCACAGAGGGUGAGAAUCCCGUGCCUGGAUGGCUGUUCUACUUCAUGUGAAGUGUCUUCGACGAGUCGAGUUGUUUGGGAAUGCAGCUCAAAAUGGGAGGUAAAUUUCUUCUAAAGCUAAAUAUUGGCGAGAGACCGAUAGCGCACAAGUAGAGUGAUCGAAAGAUGAAAAGCACUUUGAAAAGAGAGUUAAAAAGUACGUGAAAUUGUUGAAAGGGAAGCGCUUGAGACCAGACUCGACCAGUGGUGAUCAGCGGUGCUUCUGUGCCGUGCACUUGCCAUUGGUUGGGCCAGCAUCGGUUUGGACGGCGGGAUAAAGACCUAAGGAAUGUGGCUCCCUCCGGGGAGUGUUAUAGCCUUGAGUGCAAUGCCGCCAGUCUGGACCGUGGACCGCGCUUCGGCUAGGAUGCUGGCGUAAUGGUCUU
rnacentral:rRNA from 1 species